UACGGAGGAUGCGAGCGUUAUCCGGAUUUAUUGGGUUUAAAGGGUGCGUAGGCGGCGAGUUAAGUCAGCGGUAAAAUCGAGGGGCUCAACCCCUUUAAGCCGUUGAAACUGGUGAUCUUGAGUGGGCGAGAAGUAUGCGGAAUGCGUGGUGUAGCGGUGAAAUGCAUAGAUAUCACGCAGAACCCCGAUUGCGAAGGCAGCAUACCGGCGCCCGACUGACGCUGAGGCACGAAAGUGCGGGUAUCGAACAGG
rnacentral:rRNA from 1 species